UACAGAGGUCCCAAGCGUUGUUCGGAUUCACUGGGCGUAAAGGGUGCGUAGGUGGCCGGUUAAGUCUGACGUGAAAUCUCCGAGCCUAACUCGGAAACUGCAUCGGAAACUAUCCGGCUCGAGGGUUGGAGGGGGGGCUGGAAUACUUGGUGUAGCAGUGAAAUGCGUAGAUAUCAAGUGGAACACCAGUGGCGAAGGCGAGUCCCUGGACAACUCCUGACACUGAGGCACGAAAGCUAGGGGAGCAAACAGG
rnacentral:rRNA from 1 species